GAUGAAGAACGCAGCGAAAUGCGAUACGUAAUGUGAAUUGCAAAUUCAGUGAAUCAUCGAAUCUUUGAACGCACAUUGCGCCCGCUGGUAUUCCGGCGGGCAUGCCUGUUCGAGCGUCAUUUCAACCCUCAAGCCCCCGGGUUUGGUGUUGGGGAUCGGCUCUGCCCUUCUGGGCGGUGCCGCCCCCGAAAUACAUUGGCGGUCUCGCUGCAGCCUCCAUUGCGUAGUAGCUAACACCUCGCAACUGGAACGCGGCGCGGCCAUGCCGUAAAACCCCAACUUCUGAAUGUUGACCUCGGAUCAGGUAGGAAUACCCGCUGAACUUAAGCAUAUCAAUAAGCGGAGGA
rnacentral:misc_RNA from 1 species